rnacentral:rRNA from 1 species
CGGAGGGUGCAAGCGUUAUCCGGAUUCACUGGGUUUAAAGGGUGCGUAGGUGGGUCUGUAAGUCAGUGGUGAAAUCUCCGAGCUUAACUCGGAAACUGCCAUUGAUACUAUAGGUCUUGAAUCAUCUGGAGGUAAGCGGAAUAUGUCAUGUAGCGGUGAAAUGCUUAGAUAUGACAUAGAACACCAAUUGCGAAGGCAGCUUACUACGGGUGUAUUGACACUGAGGCACGAAAGCGUGGGGAUCAAACAGGAUUAGAUACCCUGGUAGUCCACGCCCUAAACGAUGGAUACUCGACAUCAGCGAUACACUGUUGGUGUCUGAGCGAAAGCAUUAAGUAUCCCACCUGGGAAGUACGACCGCAAGGUUG